rnacentral:misc_RNA from 1 species
AAGUCGUAACAAGGUCUCCGUAGGUGAACCUGCGGAGGGAUCAUUACCAGAGAUGGUGGGCCUCUGUGCCCCGUCCCACCACUUGUUGACUAACCUUUGCCUCGGGGCAGGAGCGUCCGCCGCCGCCGCCCCGGACGGACCACCGAACGCUGUCUCUUUACGUCGGAGUAUUGAUUAAAUAAAUGAAAA